rnacentral:lncRNA from 1 species
ACUCAUGAGUUUACCAGUCAAAUGAAUGCAGUAAAGAGGUCAAUGGAACACAGACAGUGGGGGAUAGAAUAAGGAUGCAGGAUUGGCGCACAUUCAACAAAUCUGAUAUAACAAAGUAGAUAUUCAUCAAAUCCGUCAUGAUUGAUGUAUUGUAAGUCGCUCUGGAUAAGAGCGUCUGCUAAAUGACUUAAAUGUAAUGUAAAUGUAAAUGUAAUGUAACAGGCCCACAAUAUGGUUACUAAAGUCCAAUUUGGAUAUAUUUGGCUGUUUUUCCUGCAUAACAUUUAGAAGUUGUUCCUUUUCCAGUUUAGAAGAAGUGACUCCUAAAUGCUAACUCCCGUUUGUGUAAGCUGGUAGCAUAGCUAGCAUACAGAAAUUGGUGGUGGCAGUCAAAGUCGUUUUUUAACUGCAAUGCUGUUGAUUGGUGACGAUGUCAAGAAAAUGCUUUGGGGUUGGCAUCUAUAGAAACAUUAUAUUCAGAUUUUUACCUCAACCUAGUGUGAAAUACACAUAUAAACAAUAGCCUAAAUGCAGGAAAAUUUUGCUAGGGGCCAAUGAGGAGAUUUGGGAUCUUUCCCCAACAGCAUAUUUCCCCCGUGUUUCCAUGGCAUUUCCAUUGUUUGGGUCAAGUUCCAUUGACCUCUUUACUGCAUCUUUUGCCAGGGUUAGAGCUUCCAUGCCCUCUCUAUUCAUUAUAUUUCUAUGGUGCUGCCUGCCUACCACAGCUUGAAGUUCCAGUGAGAUGGGUUAUUAUGAUGUAAGAGGUAGAGGAACAGACGACCUAUGAAAUGAUCUCUGUCUGCAUGCAUUAACAUUGUCAUAUUUUUCAAAGAAACGCACAGGCAAGCCAAGCUCCACCAAAGAAAAUAUUUGCAAGGCCGAAGACCUUAGGGACGUUGUUCUAAAGGUAAUACAAUCAGGCGACCUCUAACCCAAAAGACACCUGGUCUGUAUGUAACUGUAGAAGUUUGAAAUGAAUGAUGUCCUGUAGAUAUUGUCUCCUACUGCUGAUACUGGUGCACUCAAUCUAUCAGCCAACAACAAUAAAGCAAUGGACUGAUUUCAGUUAUAAAAGAUUUCAAUUUUUUGCACCUAGGGUUUACUGAGGGUUACUUAUUAUAAUCAAUCAUAAAGGUAUCUUAAAAUACAGUCGAAAUAAUUGUAACAUGUUAAAAUUGACUAAAAUGACCCGUCAUUAUACAAUAAGGCUUUUUGUCAAAUGACUUUUGCCUAAUUGAUAUAGAAGACAUAAGAACAAAAGAACAAUCAGGUAUAACAGUCUUUUUUUAUUGUCUAUUCCAAGCCAUUAAUGAACAUUCCUCACUGUUUGCACCACUAUAAAAGGCCAAAACUUUUCAUCCAUUAUUUUUUCGUAUAGUUAAGGAAAGGAUAUGUGAAAGUCUAAAUUAGAUCAUUAUUGAAUGCUAUUACAAAAAAACAUUUUUAAUAUUCAUCAGCCUCCCACACAAAGACAAGACUAUUCAUUCCAUUCAACAUUUCCAAUGUCACAUUUUUUGCUCUGUUGUCCAGUUUUGUUUCCGGUUUUCCUAUACUCAUCCCUCAAAUUUCGCUGGCUUUCAUCUCACCACAAAUACUGCAAACACAGGCUGCCCUUCUGCAAUGACAUAUGGGGCACAAAGACUCAGUGGGGCACACUGCAUCCAUGUCUCACAUCUCUUCCUACAUGUAUCUCACUCCCCCUCUCUACACUUGAGUGGUUGUAUUUCCUUUUGGUUAAUCGGAAACUCCUUUGCCACAACAGGCAUUUUUAUAUUUAUCUUCAGAAGCCUGUGUUGGAGGUUUUUUUUCGGAUCAUUAGGGACUUCACAUUUAUAUUAGCUUCAGACCAAGUCUACAGCCUGACUUAUUGCCUCACCGAUUGCCUCAGGAAUCUGGAUGUCGCCAGUCAGGUUCAAGUUCUUUUUUAAUUCGCAGUCACUUUGCACUUCAACGGCAUCCUCUGGCUUGUCAAUGCCGUUGACACAUUCCUUUUGCUGUGGCUCCGGGGCAGACACGGCAGCCGGCUCGGCUGCCUGCUCCUGACACUCCCCAUUGACCUCAGGGGCAGAAGGCUCAGCAGUAGCCUCCACUGCGGAAACAACUUCCUUGUUGUCCAGCACAGCCUCCUCUUGCUCAGCGCUGGCCUCCUCUGCAGCCGCAGGUGCAGCAGAUUCUGAAAUGAUGAUCUCCGGGAUGGGUUCUGCAAUGUCGGCAGCCUCAGGCUCUGCUGCUUCAGUUACUGCAUCAGCAGCUUCAGAUUCAAGCUCUGCUACGGAUUCUUCUAUAGGUAGGGGGAGCUCUUCAGCGGCUGGUUGUGGGAUGGAUUCUGCCUCUGGCUCUGCGGCUGCCUCUGUGGCUGACUCUGACACGGCUUCUGCAACUGAUGCAGGCUCCUCCUCCGGGGCGGAUGAAGCUGCUUCUGCCUCUACUGGUGCCUCGACCACAGCCUCAGGUUCUGGGGCCUUCCCUGUAACAGUCUCUGUUUCAGGCUCUGGAGCAGCAGGCUCUGGUUCUGUAGUGUCUGUAAUCUCUGCUGUCACCUCUGUGGCUUGUUCUGUAGCCUCAGAAGCCUUUUCUGGUACUGCAGCUAGCUCCACAGAGGCUACCUCAGGCUCUUCUGGUGCAGGCUCUUUUGGUGCUGCCUCAGGCUCUUCUGGUGCAGGCUCUUUUGGUGCUGCCGCAGGCUCUUCUGGUGGAGGCUUUUCCACUGCGGGCUCUUUUGGUGCAGGUUCUUUUGGUGCUGUUGCAGACUCUUCUGGUACAGGCUCUUCCACUGCAGGCUCUUUUGGUGCAGCCGCUGGUUCCUCUAGUGCCGCUGGUUCUUCCGGUGCCUUUGUUUUAUCUGGUGCUGCCGCAGGUUCCUCUGGUGCUGCCGCAGGUUCCUCUGGUGAUGCUGCUGGUUCCUCAGCUGCUGCAGGUUCUUCCGGUGCUGCCACUGGCUCUUCUGAGGCUGAAGGUUCUUCUGGUGCUGCAGCUGACGCUGGGUCCUCUGGUGCUGCAGCUGGUUCUUCUGAAGCCACUGGUUCCUUUGCUGCUGGCGCUGGUUCUCCAGGUGCUGCCACGGGUUCAUCUGGUACAGCCGCUGGCUCUGCGGUGGCCCCCUUGGCCACUGCCUCUAUAGCUGACAGGGCCUCUUCUGUCGCUUCUGUGAUGGCUACCGCUGCCGACUCCACUGCUCCCUCCACUUCAGCAGACACCUUAGGAGCAGUCUUCGCUGCCAACUCAGCGACCGGAGCUGGUGCUUUGCUCUCCACGGCAUGGGCCACGGCCUCAACGGCACUCACAGCAGCCACAGUAAUCUCCUCCUUCUUGUCCUUUGGGUCGCUGACAUCGUACCCCUUCUUCCUCUUGCUCAGCUUGCCUCCCAUGGUG